rnacentral:rRNA from 1 species
AUGUGGUUUAAUUCGAAGCAACGCGAAGAACCUUACCAGGCCUUGACAUCCCGAUGACCGUCCUAGAGAUAGGGCUUCUCUUCGGAGCAUCGGUAACAGGUGGUGCAUGGUUGUCGUCAGCUCGUGUCGUGAGAUGUUGGGUUAAGUCCCGCAACGAGCGCAACCCUUACGGUUAGUUGAUACGCAAGAUCACUCUAGCCGGACUGCCGUUGACAAAACGGAG